AGGAUGAACGCUGGCGGCGUGCCUAACACAUGCAAGUCGAACGCUCUCCAUUCGGUAGCAAUACUGAUGAAGAGGGAGUGGCGAACGGGUGAGUACCACGUGAGCAACCUGCCCCGAAGACUGGGACAACACCGGGAAACCGGUGCUAAUACCGGAUAUCCCUAUCGGAUCGCAUGAUCUGAUAGGGAAAUGGAUUCCGCUUCGGGAGGGGCUCGCGGCCUAUCAGCUAGUUGGUGAGGUAAUAGCUCACCAAGGCAUCGACGGGUAGCUGGUCUGAGAGGACGAUCAGCCACACUGGGACUGAGACACGGCCCAGACUCCUACGGGAGGCAGCAGUGGGGAAUCUUGCGCAAUGGGCGAAAGCCUGACGCAGCAACGCCGCGUGGAGGACGAAUGCUUUCUGAGUUGUAAACUCCUUUCAGCAGGGACGAUUGUGACGGUACCUGCAGAAGAGCACCGGCCAACUACGUG
rnacentral:rRNA from 1 species